AAAACAGGUUCCAAAUCAUUAGCAUUAACACAACUACUCCAAAAUUCCCUCGGAAAAAAAUGUGCUACGGCAGUCAACAAUUCCCGUCAAAAGACGCCUUAACCAACCCGACCCGGACCCGGACCCGAACUACACCGGCGGCGAACGAGAAUACUGUAGUAAUCAAUAACCUCCGAGACCGGUUAGCCGAGACGGAGGCGCGACUUGAGCGAGCCAGGUCUCGAGAAGCCGAGUUGAGCCGCCAAUUAGAGGAGAUGAAGCGGUUCGUUUGCGUUAUGGAGAUCCUCGACUGUUACCUCAAGCGCCGUUACAGCGAACAGCAAGUUAAAACCCUAGCUGUGGUUAGCAGGAGUAAAAUUGUAUAGGAAAAAAGAAAUUGCAAACACAUGAAGCAGAAGUUGGAAACAGAUGCUUAUUUAUGGCCUAAACAGGAUAUCAAGAUGUAUGUAUUUGGCCUUUCUGAUAUGUAAUAGGAAGUUAUAUCCCACAAAAGGUACAUGUAAUUUCAACAUAUCUACCAUUGCUGGUCUCUUUGGCAGUUCCAUGUUGCAUCCUAGUGAGUGUAUUGUUAUCUGCAGAAGCGGAGCUACGUUUUGAAGCUUAUGAGUUCGCAAUUUUAGUUCAUUUAAGUUAUUGUGUUCUAAAUUAAUAAUUUGUAUAUAUUCUACAGAUUUCUUAAGACAAAUACAUGAUUUGAAACAAAGUUAUUGGUUCAGCCGAA